GACGUAGGGCGCGAGCGUUGUCCGGAUUUAUUGGGCGUAAAGAGCUCGUAGGCGGCUUGUCGCGUCGUCCGUGAAAACCCGCGGCUCAACUGCAGGCUGGCGGUCGAUACGGGCAGGCUGGAGUUCGGUAGGGGAGACUGGAAUUCCUGGUGUAGCAGUGAAAUGCGCAGAUAUCGGGAAGAACACCCGUGGCGAAGGCGGCUCUCUGGGACGGUACCGACGCUGAGACGCGAAAGCGUGGGGAGCAAACAGG
rnacentral:rRNA from 1 species